rfam:Cavia porcellus supercont2_30 genomic scaffold, whole genome shotgun sequence.
AUGUGAGGGCAAUCUGGCUAUGACAUCUGUCACCCCACUGACCACCACCGUUGAUUUGGCUGAUCUGGCUGGCUAGCCAGGUGUCUCCUUCCUCCUUCACGGCUCUAUGUCUGUCCAUGCUCAAGCUGUAUGCUGGGUGGACAAGGACAACCACAUCCAAUAAAGGACCAUUUCUUUGGUCAAGGUUAAAUGAGUAGCUGCGCUCCCCCAUUAAAGGCUCCAAACAAGCUCCCACCUGGGAAGUGCUUUCUUGCUGUACUGUUACAGUCAGGAGGCCAUCACCUGGACAUACACAGCUAAUGAGUGAGGUUGGGUCUCUCUUCCUUUUU